ACACUGAUGAGGAGUCCCAUAAUAGGACGAAACAGCCGUUCAGUGC
rnacentral:hammerhead_ribozyme from 1 species